rnacentral:pre_miRNA from 1 species
UCUUUUGUUGCUCCGGAGUUCUUGUAGGGGAAAGGAAUGUGCUGUGGUGGGAAUUUCAGACGCCUCAGUCAUUUCUUGCUCUCUGUCAGGAUCUCGGGUGAUCCUGAGGG